rnacentral:rRNA from 1 species
AUUGAACGCUGGCGGCAUGCCUUACACAUGCAAGUCGAGCGGGAACUUCGGUUCUAGCGGCGGACGGGUGAGUAAUGCGUAGGAAGCUACCCGACAGAGGGGGAUACCAGUUGGAAACGACUGUUAAUACCGCAUAAUGUCUACGGACCAAAGUGUGGGACCUUCGGGCCACAUGCUGUCGGAUGCGCCUACGUGGGAUUAGCUAGUUGGUGAGGUAAUGGCUCACCAAGGCGACGAUCCCUAGCUGGUUUGAGAGGAUGAUCAGCCACACUGGAACUGAGACACGGUCCAGACUCCUACGGGAGGCAGCAGUGGGGAAUAUUGGACAAUGGGCGCAAGCCUGAUCCAGCCAGGCCGCGUGUGUGAAGAAGGCCUUCGGGUUGUAAAGCACUUUCAGUAGGGAGGAAGGAUGUUGUGUUAAUAGCACAGCAUUUUGACGUUACCUACAGAAGAAGCACCGGCUAACUCUGUGCCAGCCGCCGCGGUAAAAC